rnacentral:sRNA from 1 species
GCUGGGUACGGUGGCUCAUGCCUGUAAUCCAGAGCUCAGGGGGCUGAGACAGGAGGAUUGUGAAUUUAAAGGCAGACUGAGUCACUUUGUCAAGUCUCUAAGCAACUCAGUGAAAUCCUGUCUCCA